UGUACGAGCAUCAGUCAGCUGAUAGCUUCAUGGUGAAAACUUGUGUCGGUUUGCAAAUUGACACGUUUGUUUUUAUUUUUGGUUCCGUUUCGUUAAUUUACCACCCGCUUCCACGGAUUUGAUCUGACUCAGUGGCGCAUCAGGCAAUAGUGAAAUAUAUUCCUCAUUCCCUGGAAGAAGCCACCCAGGAAGGAUGGAUUACUCUACGCAGAACACCGAUCGGUACUCGAGGGAACGAGUUCUCCGUAGAUACAGACCAGGAUUGAACAUACUAAAACGCACUUCGAGCCGUGGGAUAAUUCAUAGUACCAUUAUGUUUCCCGGAUUAUUUCGAAGUGACAAUAGUUAGUGAGUAGUAAAAAGCAUCGCAAUUUUAUUUGUAAUAAUAAAUAAUAAUUUAAAAAUAAAAGAAACGAUAAAAUCAAUCAAACAACCAAUUGUUCUUAAUAAGCUUUCAUUUCAAAUUUAUUCACAAUCCAUUUAGAAUCAAGUAAAACUAACAAUAACUUUCAUCGCCAUAUCGCGUUGAACGCACUAGAAAAUCACGUAAAUUAUAGGUGAGGUCCAUGAAGCACAAAUUCUUAUUAGGGGAGCGUUUACAUAAUUUAU